rnacentral:sRNA from 1 species
UCACUAAAAACUCCUGCCGCUCACAGCCGG